UCAGGAUUAACGCUGGCGGCGUGCCUAAUACAUGCAAGUCGAAUGGUAGUAGCAAUACAAACCAUGGCGAACGGGUGAGUAACACGUAGGCAACCUGACUUUAAGACGAGGAUAACCGUUGGAAACGACGGAUAAUACUGGAUAGGACAUCAGAAAGGGCAUCCUUAGAUGUUUAAAGGUUAUUAUGCCACUUAGAGAGGGGCCUGCGGCGCAUUAGCUAGUUGGUGAGAUAACAGCCCACCAAGGCGAUGAUGCGUAGCCGGACUGAGAGGUUGAACGGCCACAAUGGAACUGAGAACGGUCCAUACUCCUACGGGAGGCAGCAGUAGGGAAUUUUCGGCAAUGGGCGCAAGCCUGACCGAGCAACGCCGCGUGAACGAAGAAGUUAUUCGUAAUGUAAAGUUCUUUUAUCUGGGAAGAAAAAACAAAUUGACGGUACCGGAUGAAUAAGCUCCGGCUAACUACGUGCCAGCCGCUGC
rnacentral:rRNA from 1 species